AUAAAUCAACAUUUUAUAUCAGGCUUACAGCCCUCCGCAAGGAGAUUGCUUUUUCCCCAGCGCUUCGCAUUGGGCUGAAUUAACACGCCCUUUCAGGGCUCUUACAGCAGUCAGCCGUCAGUUCCGCAUUCCUCCUUGGAAGGGGGGGAAGGGGGAUGUUCAUAUCGGCAUUAUGACGGGUGAACACAGAGGUUUGCCCCUACAUGAACUGCCCUUUCCUCUACCCUGUCAUUCAGAGCUCCUCCUUUGUCAUUCAGAGCACUUUCCUUGUCAUUCAGAGUGUCAGCGAUGAAUCUUUCCUCUUCCUCGCGGGAUUCCUCACGGCGUUCGGAAUGACAGGGGUACAUGUCGUAGAGACGCAAAUCAUUGCGUCUCUACGGUGCGUACUGCGUUCAUUUGCGAAAUUUGCGUUCGGACACCGUGUACCCUGUACAUAACCAUUACCCGAAAGGGCUGCAAACCCGAUAUAUUUCAGCCCCAUCCCGUAAGGGUGGGGUCCCGUCCAACCUUGUUCGGAGGGCUGUAAGCCUGAUGUAAUUUAUCGGUCAGUAUUCAGCCAUCAGCUUCCAUCCAACAAUCAAACAACUCAACCAUUCAACAGCUCAACGCCCGAAGGGCAUCACUUUUCACUUUUCAUUUUUCGUUUU
rnacentral:sRNA from 1 species